rnacentral:rRNA from 1 species
GAUGAACGCUGGCGGAAUGCUUUACACAUGCAAGUCGAACGGUAGAGGGGGCAACCCCUCGAGAGUGGCGAACGGGUGAGUAAUAUAUCGGAACGUGCCCAGUCGUGGGGGAUAACGUAGCGAAAGUUACGCUAAUACCGCAUACGAUCUAAGGAUGAAAGCGGGGGAUCGCAAGACCUCGCGCGAUUGGAGCGGCCGAUAUCAGAUUAGGUAGUUGGUGGGGUAAAGGCUCACCAAGCCAACGAUCUGUAGCUGGUCUGAGAGGACGACCAGCCACACUGGAACUGAGACACGGUCCAGACUCCUACGGGAGGCAGCAGUGGGGAAUUUUGGACAAUGGACGCAAGUCUGAUCCAGCCAUUCCGCGUGCAGGAUGAAGGCCCUCGGGUUGUAAACUGCUUUUGUACGGAACGAAAAGGUCUCUCUUAAUACGGGGGACUCAUGACGGUACCGUAAGAAUAAGCACCGGCUAACUACGUGCCAGCAGCCGCCGUAA